rnacentral:rRNA from 1 species
CCUACGGGAGGCUGCAGUGAGGAAUAUUGGUCAAUGGACGAGAGUCUGAACCAGCCAAGUAGCGUGAAGGAUGACUGCCCUAUGGGUUGUAAACUUCUUUUAUAUGGGAAUAAAACGUUCCACGUGUGGGAUUUUGUAUGUACCAUAUGAAUAAGGAUCGGCUAACUCCGUGCCAGCAGCCGCGGUAAUACGGAGGAUCCGAGCGUUAUCCGGAUUUAUUGGGUUUAAAGGGUGCGUAGGUGGAUUGUUAAGUCAGUUGUGAAAGUUUGGGGCUCAACCGUAAAAGUGCAGUUGAAACUGGCAGUCUUGAGUACAGUAGAGGUAGGCGGAAUUCGUGGUGUAGCGGUGAAAUGCUUAGAUAUCACGCAGAACUCCGAUUGCGAAGGCAGUUCACUGGACUGCAACUGACGCUGAGGCUCGAAAGUGUGGGUAUCAAACAGGAUUAGAUACCCGAGUAGUC